GGACGAUUAGCUCAGUUGGUUAGAGCGCCACGUUGACAUCGUGGAGGUCACAAGUUCGAGUCUUGUAUCGUCCACC
rnacentral:tRNA from 1 species